rnacentral:lncRNA from 1 species
UUGAAAUUUUCUCGUAUUUCCUUUCUAAGAGGCUGCAAUCGACGAGACCAUAACAUCAUUUUAAAAAUGCAAAGAGAAGACUAAUCAAGCUUCCUAUCGAUGGAUAAACUUUAGAAAUGCGUGUAUCGGUUUGCAGCGUUACAGACUUGCCGUCGUACGUUACUCAUUACAUGGAAAACCACUGAACGUCCUUUCUUGAGAACUUUGAUGAUUUUUCUUUUGCGUGUGAAGAAUAUUUUGUGAAAAUUUCAAGCCAUUAUGUUGGUACGGUUUCCUUUAAAAAAAUUAAAUAUGAGCGGAGAUUUUGAGGAACCGCAACCGAAAAACGCAUUUUUGCAGUUUCACCGUCGUUAUUUUUACUUGCACAGGUAAUAUUUGACAAAAAAUAAUUGAUCUCAAAAUUUUGAGGAGUGGUCUGGCGAGAUUUGAUUAAGAGCUAUAAUUCUUUCACUUCAGAGAAAGACUUGUAAGCACACAUGCCACCCAAAAAUAUUCAUCGGAUCUUAGUGAGACUGAGAAUUGAAAUUACCUUUAAUUCAUACAAGGGAGCUUGAUCUACAUGUAGAACAUCAGGUAUUAAUCCAGCCUUUUCCAGAACUUCCUUCACAUCAUGCUUGGCCCAUUCAGAUUUUACCAUUUUAUCUCAAAAUAACCGAGAAAUCUAUCACUUAACAAAUUACUACACCACAAAACAGAAAAUAUGAAUAACACUUCGUAUUCCUUAAAAUCAUCCUACAUAUACCAAUUUUUUUUAUUAUUUUCCACUUAAACUCCACAUACUAAUUGUUUUUUUCGUAAACGAUGACCAAGGCACGUCAUCUACAUUUAAAAGAAACAAAAACUGCGAACUACAUGAAUCAUUGGGAAAUCUGGAUCAAUGAUGAAGUUCCAUCCAAACUUUCACCAUUUUGGGGCCUUUUUACAUGAAAGCAUGCCUGAUGUAUGGAGAACCUACUUGACCUAAUUAAACGGUACGUAAACUUUUUUUAUAGAGUGAUUUUUUAUUUUAUUUAUCCGAAUUUUUAGAAUUCACCCUUACCAAACAUCUUGACCGACUCUUACAACGAAUCGUAUAGAUAGAGAUACACAGCAUAAAUAAUUACUAAGAUUUUUGUCGCAAAAUAUGCUCGAUCCUUCGCCACACCCCAUAAUGUACCCACGCGAUGGAUCAACUGGGCCGAUCACAGAAUUGUUUUUUGAUAAUUUAACAUUAUAGAUUAGCAAAAAUGUUCAAACGCAAAGUUGCUACGUCCAACAAUAACGGAGAUACUGCUUAUCGAAAAUCACGGCGUAUGACGUCAUUAUUCAGGUGACGUAGCAUGGUGUUAACGAACCCAAAAUCUGAUCGCACGGAGUCAAUAAUUGUUGACGUCGCAAUGGGCAACGCAGAAAUGGGCCCUGAUCAUGAGGUCAACUAACAAAAAAAUAUCUUCCUUAUGAGUAAAAUUUAAACAAGCUGGUUUGCAAUCGCAGUGCGAUAGCAAUACUCGGCAUGGGAACUUGAGAAAU